UUCUGGCCCACAUUAAAAAUGGGCUAGCCCGGCCUGGCCUGUAAAAUGUCAAAGUCUGUAUGGGUUAGCCUGGAUGGGGUGGGCUAGCCCAUAUUGACAGCUCUAGUUCUAAUCCAUAGAGUUGUAGACUCAUUAAGUGACAUUGAUAUGAAUAAAAGCCCCUAAAACUGCAAAAGUCUUCUCCUAAUCCCAAUUGUUUUCUCGUUUUGCUGGGGAGGUAGGGGAGCGGAGCGGAUUUCAUUUGGUAUUCUCUCAAGCUUGUAUGCUUGCUCUUUUAUUGGACAACCAAAGUUAAAAAGUGAAGUUCUUGUACAAGUUGAAAUGCUGGUUAUCAACUUACAGAGGCCAUAGAGAGAGGGCCACGAUAACAUAAGAUUUUUACUUCUGCUGCACUAGAGUUCUGAGUCUGAACCUCGAUUAGUAAAUUGUGAACCUGAUGAAAUAGGACCACUUCCACCAUAUGGAACAUUAUCAUCCUUGAACAACAUAUUAUGCAUUCUCAGAUUGAAUGCAGACUUCGCGUGAUGUAUGUGAUGUGAUUUUUCUGUACUUGUCUGAUUAGAUUAUUUGCAAAGUACUUCUUCUUGUAGAUUUUGUGAAUCAUGUGGCUACGAGAUUGUUAAAGAAUUAAUUUUCUAAAUAAGCUCAAGUAUCAGUGCACUAUGAAGGUCUGAAACUUAGCAUAUAUCUUUUGGCCUUUGUCAUCGUAGUUCUUGCUGAAUAAAACAUAUGCUUAGAUUCAUUCUAAUACUUGGUAUUCAACCAGAUUGCAACGAUGAUUUAUGAUGAAUGUCAGAAGGUUCACGCGAAGUUUUACCAUGCAGUCUAUGGACUAAGAGAAUGUCUGAACGUAGGGCACGAUAGGUGCUCCACAGAAACAUAUGUUUUCUCCUGUAACUGUCAUUUGACUUUUGGUCUAAAUGAAUACAUGUAUCGUAGUUUUGAUGCUGACCCCAACUUCACUGAAUUAUGGAUCCUACGCGAGUGUUAUUUUAUGACUCCAAGUAUUUAUAGAGUUGAACCACUCUUGACUCAACCAAGGAUAUGUUGUUUUCUUCAUUGACAACAGAAUUUGCAGGCUCAGCAACUUCAAUGAGGAUUUUGUCAACAGUCCCACACGAGUAGGGUCUGAGGAAGGUAAUGUGUAGCGAUGGACCCUCGGCCCAUGCAGUAAUGUACUCAACCGGUCAACCCUAAGAUUUGUCGAGGAAAUCAACAUCUUCAAAUAUAGGGGCAGCUUGGCCUGGAUCCCGCUUUCCUUUUUAGCCUAUUUCAAAAGGGUCACUUACGUUCUUUUUUCGGUAAUUCUUUCAUUUCAACUAUUUUUCUCGUUGACAUGUUUAAUACUACGAGAUUCAAAAGUGUUUGUUACUUAAACAUGGAAAACGGAAUCAUCAUAGGCUAGUCAA